rnacentral:rRNA from 1 species
GGGAGUGAAAUAGAACCUGAAACCCUGCACUUACAAGCUGUGGAAGCACAUUUCUUGUGUGACCGCGUACUUUUUGUAGAACGGGCCAACGAGUUACGUUAAGUAGCAAGGUUAAGCACUUAAGGUGUGGAGCCGUAGCGAAAGCGAGUUUUAACUGAGCGUUCAGUUACUUGACGUAGACCCGAAACCGGGCGACCUACCCAUGAGCAGGAUGAAGCGAAAGUAAAAUUUCGUGGAGGUCCGAACCCACGAGCGUUGAAAAGCUCGGGGAUGACUUGUGGGUAGCGGUGAAAUUCCAAUCGAGCCCGGAGAUAGCUGGUUCUCCCCGAAAUAGCUUUAGGGCUAGCCUCAAGGUGAGAGAUACGGAGGUAGAGCACUGAAUGUCCUAGGGGGUAUUGCACCUACCGAAGACUAUCAAACUCCGAAUGCCGUCAUCUUAUACUUGGGAGUCAGACUGUGGGUGAUAAGAUUCAUAGUCGAAAGGGCAACAGCCCAGAUCGUCAGCUAAGGUCCCUAAAUGUAAGUUAAGUGGUAAAGGAUGUGGGAUUGCACAGACAACCAGGAUGUUGGCUUAGAAGCAGCCACUCAUUCAAAGAGUGCGUAAUAGCUCACUGGUCGAGUGAUCCUGCGCCGAAGAUUUCCGGGGCUAAAACUUACUACCGAAGCUACGGCAUCAGUAAUGAUGGGUAGGGGAGCU